GACGAACGCUGGCGGCGUGCUUAAUACAUGCAAGUCGAACGGACAGGCCCUGCGUUUGUUUCGUUCUCGAUUGCCGAACGGGUGAGUAACACGUGAGUAACCUCCCCUUGUCUUUGGGAUAACAUCAGGAAACUGGGGCUAAUACCGGAUAGGAUCUCCUGCACCAUGUUGGUGGUAGGAGAGAUUCGGCGGUGGGGGCUGUUCUCGCGGGUUAUCAGCUGCUUUGGGGGGUAGUGGCUUACCAAGGGUUUGACGGGUAGCCGGCCUGAGAGGGGUGCCGGCGACCUGGGGACUGAGGUACGGCGCAGUAGCCUACGGGCGGCAGCAGUGGGAAACAUUGCACAAUGGGGGCGAGCGUGAUACAGCAGCGCUCCGUGCGGAAUGCCGUCUUUCGGGUUGUAAACAGCUUUCGCAUGUGCCGAGCCGUGCGUGACGGUACUGGGUCAAGAAGCACCGGCUAACUACGUG
rnacentral:rRNA from 1 species